CGGCGCAACUCGUGAGUACGCUCGCCCGCUUGUUUGUUGGCUCGCCUUUGCUUGAUGCGCUGGCUCGCUACUUCGUUGGUUCGCUUAGCUUUUCGCUUUCCAGCGGCGGUUGCUGUACGUUUGCCUGGCGCUCCGCAAUUUAGUACUCAGUUGUUGUGCCCGUCAAGCGAACGUGUUCGGUAGAAAUCAAAGUGUGUGCGCGCUAACUAGUGUAUUGUGUAUGUAAUAGAUACACAGGCCGUCGGGAAAAUUGUUCUAACCACCACCACCACCACCACCAGCACCAUUACAAACAACAACAACAACACCACAACCACUAAAAUCAUUAAAGCGAUAUGUGUGUGGUGUCACAGUGUAUGUGUGCGUGUGUGUUUUCAGCAAAUUAAAGUGAAGUAAGAAGAAGACUCCAGCAUAAAAGCGUAAGAAUCAAGUGAGUGUGAAAAAAAGUGUUGAAAAUUUUGGAAUUCUGUGAAAAUUUUCCCUUUUCUCGUGAAAAAAACAAAUGCAAAAAGGCGUGUGCUAUUUACAUAUAUACGUGCGAGUAUGUGAGUGCGAGUGUGUGAAAGGUGAAGCCAAGAAAUAUAAAUUAAAAGCAUAACAAAAACAACGUCAAUUUCCCUUAAAAAAAACACCUAUGAAUUAGUGUACGUGUGUGAGUGCUUAAAUUGAAGCAAUUGCAGAGUGCUAUAAAUGAAACACCUCCGUAACAAUAAGGUGCAAGUAAUACCACCAAACAACAGCAAUAACAAAAGGCUCUGCAACUUAAUCAACUCUAAAACAAGCAGUAAAGUAAAACCAAAUCAAAAGCACACAUACACUCACAAAAGAAAGCAGAUUAAAUAACAAAAUCAGCAACUUUCGUUGCCUGACAACGCCGUGCGCAGUGUUGAAAAAAGUUCUCAACAUUCUCGCACCACAACAGCGUUACGUAAAAAGGUGUGUGAGUGAAUUUUGAAGUUCUUUAAGUCUUAAGUGAUUAUCCUGCAAACGUGUAACUCAUACUUUAAAGCGCCGAGAAGAAUUAUAUUGCACGCAUUUCAAAGCGAGCAAAAGAAAAAAUAAUUUAAUCAAAAUAAAUAAAAAUAAAUACUGACACACGUCCAUUGCGUUGUGUGUGCGUGCAAAUAAGUGCUCCGAAAGUAUCAAUUUCAGCAUUUGCUUUGUUGAAAUUUGUCAUUUUUUAUGGAAAUAAAAUCGAAGAGUGCAAAUUCUCUUAACGGCAAGUAAACCGCAUUUUUUCUCGCUUCUGCUGUUGAUAUAUCCAUAUCAUCGUUUUUUGCUGUCGAAUUUUGUCGUAAAGCAACAAAGUCAUUGAUUGGUUCGUCAAGUUGGAUAAUGAAUGCGCAAAAAAGGUAAUAAUGUCAAAACUACAGACAACUUAAAUAACUAAUUUAUUGCCCUUCCAAAAAGUAAGUCAUUUUUCAAUUAUUGAAAUUUUCGCUAAUAUAAAACACAUUUACUGCUGACAAAAAUAUAUACAACUUUUGUACAAAAAUAUUUUUUUUUUUUUAUCUCAAAGAAAUAAAAUUAAAUCUUCACGAAAAGGGAAAAAUAAUCACCACCAAACGCAAAUAAAUUCAUAAAAAAUAAUGACCAACGAAACGAAUCAUUAAUGAGAGCGAUGGCAAUUGGACAGCUCUUAAAAGUUUCCGGUUCACUUUCCGAGUGUCCUUUUGAAGGCAACAAAAAGAACAAAGCAUGACACACAGCCCACUCCCUCGGCUCACA